UGGGGAAUAUUGCACAAUGGAGGGAACUCUGAUGCAGCGACGCCGCGUGAACGAAGAAGGCUUUCGAGUCGUAAAGUUCUUUUAUAUGGGAAGAUAAUGACGGUACCAUAGGAGGAAGCCCCGGCUAACUACGUGCCAGCAGCCGCGGUAAUACGUAGGGGGCGAGCGUUGUCCGGAAUUACUGGGCGUAAAGGGUUCGCAGGCGGCAUGACAAGUCCGAUGUAAAAGGCGAAAGCUCAACUUUCGCAAGCAUCGGAAACUGUCAAGCUUGAGUGAAGGAGAGGCAAGUGGAAUUCCUAGUGUAGCGGUGGAAUGCGUAGAUAUAUGGAGGAACACCGGUGGCGAAAGCGGCUCUCUGGUCUGUAACUGACGCUGAGGCUCGAAAGCGUGGGGAGCGAACAGG
rnacentral:rRNA from 1 species